rnacentral:lncRNA from 1 species
AAGUUUGAAAAAAAGUGUAUAACAAUUGCACCAAAAAAUUAUAUUUGCAUAACACUGCCCAUUGCGCUAAAUGGCACCGAGUCCCAUUUAAAACCAUGCACUUGCUAAAAAUAUUUGCAUUUUUCAGUAACUGUGUUUGAGCAAAUACAUACGGUAAGAACUUAGUAAAAGUUUAAUUGAUUGUCCGUUUAAGCUCACAUAAAGUGCAAGAUGGCAACAACAGAGCACAACUGUAUCACGUGCAACAGCAACCAAAAUUAGUUAGCUAAUAAACUGUCUGAAGGGAACCAAUCAUUUCAGAGUAGUUUAUUCCACGUCUCAUUCUCCUCGAAAAUGAGCCCAAGUGGCCAUCAACAAAUACAAUUGUUUUGAUACAACAACUGUAAGAGAAAUGAGUAACCAUGAAAGAAACAAAACGUUUAAGUUAGUUUUUUCUAACCAUGGAGGAGAGUUGCAUGUUAACUUUAUAAAAGAAGGCCAAUGUCAAGGAACAGCAUGUUGACAUACUCAUCCUGCUCUCCGUUCUUGUCAUCAGUCCCGGCAAUCAGCUCCUGACCAUCACCUUCAGCAACAACCACGACAAUGCCCCUUAUUCUUUAUCCUUGCAUAUACAGGAACUCAAUCAGGUCAAGAAAAAAAGAUAUGAAUCAACUCUCAAGAUCAAGUGAGAUGGGUGCCUUCCCUCUCUACUACUGCCAGGCUCAACACCAACUCCACAUAUCAAGCACAUGUUGCCUUUCCACAACAUGACAACACUUUUCAAUGCAACAAACAAAAAGAUUGGGCCUACAAUGACGCCUCAUUGCCUGAGAAGAAUAAAAGAGGGAGCUCACCUUGAUGAGUUGGAAUCAGAUGCACUCGUUAUAGCUCGACCAAGCUGCGCCCAUGGUCUGGACCGGCAACGGGACCGGCGCUCCCGCUGCCUAUACAGUCUGCUGCGGGUUAGAAGACGUGCCCAGCCUCCUCGUAGGUUAGAAUAUAGUUUUAUUCUAUAUCAUUAUCAGUCUCGUAAGCUUUUCAGCAGAUGAUGAUGCAAUCAAAACAAUUCCAAAAUAAAUGAUAUAUUGAUGAGAAAAGGUUAGGAUUCUGAUAGAAAUAGCUAGCCUUCUACUGGCUAUAUUUCUGAAGUUAUUUUCUGUUAUUGUAUGAGAAUAACAAGAUUAAUAGGGUGAAAUUAGGUCAUGCUACAACUUUUGUAAAGGGAAAAAGGUUCACC